rnacentral:tRNA from 1 species
UCCCUGGCAGUCCAGUGGUUAAGACCCUGUGCUUCCACUGCAGAGGGCACAGGUUCAAUCCCUGGUCAGGGAA